rnacentral:rRNA from 1 species
GAUCAUGGCUCAGGACGAACGCUGGCGGCGCGCCUAACACAUGCAAGUCGAACGGGAGAGAAGGAGCUUGCUUCUUCGAUCGAGUGGCGAACGGGUGAGUAACGCGUGAGGAACCUGCCUCAAAGAGGGGGACAACAGUUGGAAACGACUGCUAAUACCGCAUAAGCCCACGGGUCGGCAUCGAUCUGAGGGAAAAGGAGCAAUCCGCUUUGAGAUGGCCUCGCGUCCGAUUAG